rnacentral:lncRNA from 1 species
GUAGCUUAAAAUAGUAACUAUUAUUGCUUAUUAAUUUAUGUUCACCUUAGUUCUGCUUACUUGGGCAUGGCUUGGCCUCUAUUGCUUGGAUUUUCUGACUUUCCCAUGCAUCUAUAGUCAUUAGGUGGACUGGUUAGGGUUUGACUGGUGCAAUCAAACUUCAUAUGGUUGGCUGUUGGCUGGCUAUUGGUUUUGGUGAUUGGGCCAUGUAUCUUUUGCCAUCUAGCAAGCUGGCAUGCGGAGUUACUCAUAUAACAGUGAUGGGGUUUCAGGAGAGGAGAAAUUUACAAGACACCUUUAUACUUAGGAUCUGAACUCACACAUUGUUACCUCUAUCACAUUCUUUGUGGAAAGGAAAUCAAGCUAACCCCAUUAAAGGAUGAAAGAUUAGACUGUACUUCUGAAUGAGAGGCAUGGAUACAGAGGGGAAUAAAACAACUUUAUCGAGGUGCAGUUUACACAUCUUAAAAUUCACCUGUUUUACAUAUACAAUUCAAUGAUUUUUAGUAAAUUUAUUCACUGAUAUUCUAUCACUGUAAUCUGGUUUUAGAACAUUUCUGUUACCCCAGUACAGUCUGUUUUACAAUCAUUC